GGCAAUAAGUUCUUUUUUCCACACGAGGAUGGGGAAAGAGAGAGAGAGUUGCGGGGACACAAAGACAACUCCAUGAAGACUUGCCAUUCUGAUGCGAUCUCUCGAUUUUUCCUCAGCUGUCCACAUCACUGCUGGCCUUUUGGCCGACCCAACUUCAAUGUUGUCCCAACCUUCCCUUCUUCCUCCCAGACACACCGCCCUGUCACCGUCACCUUUUGCUCUAUCCCUUACAAAUACUUUUACAUUUCGCUUUGAGCCACCGAAUAUGUGCGCCCUUUCAGCUCCCACAUUAUCACCAUUUCAAUAGAUCUCGCAGCUUUUUUCUUUGUUCUUUUUUCAUGUUUGGGGGGUUCAUCAGAUACCUCUAAGCUAUGGAUCUUCAACUCGGUUUAGCUCUCCCAAUUCAUGACCCUGCCAAAGCGUCCGAGCCGAAAGAUCAUGAAGGCUCGUACAAGAAGUGGGUCGACAACAAAAGGUGUCAUGGAGAAGCAUUUGGAGAAUACUCCUCAGGGAAAUUGCAGUUGCUGGCAUGGAGCAGCGGGCCGAACGAGGACGACGACCUGAGUGCGAAGCGCAGCAAGUUUUCUUGUUCUAUGAACAAGUUUAGGUAUAGUGAAGGAGCUGAUGACGAUGAUCAGGUUCUGGGGUGGCCACCCAUCAAGUCCUGGAGGAAGGAGUUCGUGCACGGGCAGCGCCCACCACACCAGGAUCAUUACGAGAAUGUCCAUCAUGCCCAGAAAGAAAACGGCGAACCCGAUCAUAACAUGUUCGUGAAGGUGAAAAUGGAAGGAGUGGCCAUCGUAAGGAAGAUCAACUUGCGGACCUACCGGUCUUAUAACAGUCUUAAAGGCGCCUUGAUUGCCAUGUUCUCGAGAUUCAUUGUGCUUGCUCAGACAACAGAGAUGACUUCAAAGAUCAUGCCAGCUACACCCUAACUUACCAGGACAAAGAAGGAGACUGGCUCUUGGCUGGAGAUCUUCCAUGGCUGAACUUUGUGGAGUCGGUACAUCGCCUGCAGAUACAAAGGAGUAGAGAUUAAAACCAGAUUCGAAAAGUCAAAACCAUACCACGCUGAGCUCAAACAUCAUCGAUCCCUUCUUAGUUUGCACUAGGUUUCCAGCAGAAAGACAUCUUCGAUAUGUCAAUUUGCUUGAAUAAGAUGAUUGUAAGAGUAUAUUAGGUAGGCUAAGUUAGCUUGUUUACCAGCCAAAAACUGCUGAUGAAGCCAAAAGUUGGCUUGUUUACCAGCGGUACCCCGCUCCUCCAUGUAAUGUAACUUGUUGAUUUAUAGCCUUGUAAAGUUGCUAGAAUCGCAAGCUUUUCACUGUCUGAAGAGCACAACCAUAGGGCAUUUUCAUACUGACGUUGGAUGGCAGCCUGUAUUAAAGGAAUUAGUAGGGACAGAUGCAAA